rnacentral:rRNA from 1 species
AGCGAACGUUAGCGGCGCGCCUAACACAUGCAAGUCGCACGAGAAACGGAGCAAUCCGCGGUACAGUGGCGCACGGGUGAGUAACACGUGGAUGACCUUCCCUGGAGUGUGGAUAACCUGCCGAAAGCGGGCUAAUACAGCAUACGGACCACGACGCUUUGGCGAUGUGGUGAAAGCGGGCCUCUAUAUAUAAGCUCGCGCUCCGGGACGGGUCCGCGUCCCAUCAGCUAGUUGGUGAGGUAACGGCUCACCAAGGCAACGACGGGUAGCUGGUCUGAGAGGAUGGCCAGCCACACUGGAACUGAGACACGGUCCAGACUCCUACGGGAGGCAGCAGUGGGGAAUCUUGCGCAAUGGGCGAAAGCCUGACGCAGCGACGCCGCGUGGGCGAAGAAGGCCUUCGGGUUGUAAAGCCCUGUGGGGGAGAACGAACCGUACGGGGGCGAAUACCCUCCGUGCCUGACGGUACUCCUUUAGCAAGCAUCGGCUAACUCUGUG